rnacentral:tRNA from 1 species
GAGGUUGUGGUGUAACGGCAGCAUAACGGACUUUUAAUCCGUCUGGCGCAGGUUCGAAUCCUGCCAGCCUCAC